UCGGAAAAACUGCUGUUGCUCAUGUGACCGUCGACCCAGAAGGUUGAGUAUGUGGCAAGCCCAGGCUUGUUCACAGGGCAGCUCAGCUGCUCUCUCCAGCCAGGGAACGGUUAUGGAAGCUCACUUUUCCCCAAGGAGAGCAAGAGUCCGUGGAAGUAGGCGCACAGAAAGCGUUAGGAUCCCACAGAUCUGAGGACUCCAGCACAAAAGGAAUGAGCCACCUCCGCUGUGCCCUUAUGUCUGGAGGAGCCCAGCUCCAUUUCAAGGACAAAAUGACAGGGUUGCAGUGGGUCCUGGUUUGUUUCUCCUGGCCAUGGACUUUUCCACAGCUAGUUUUCUUUGGAAACGGGAUGUGUGACGUGUUUGAGCUCAGAUGAGGGUAGAAAGCCACACAGGGACCACUCUGUGCUGCCUUAAGGGGCCAAGGCAGUGCUCACAGUACGGUGGACAAAUGUGGGACUUGGGUUCAUGCCUCUUUCUCUGCAAAUAAGGCUAAAAAUACUUCCAUCCUGACAGAGGAGGAGGGGCAAGGCAGCCAUUGCAUCAGCAGAUUUCUGUAGAUCAAAACAAGCUGUUCCAGGAAACAGGCGUAAACAAGAUGACCUUGGAUCCCUGGGUGGGGCUGGGUAGUGAUGGGUCUGCCACACCCGGGUGGGUGGCUGAAGUCUGCUGCUUCUGGCCAGCCAGCUUAGGAGCUCAUGGUUGGAGGGGAAAGGAGGUUAGGAAGGACCCCUUGGGCAACCGGUGUGGCCCAGGAUUUCAGGGUCAAAGUCCAGGUUCCAAGUCUUUUCUCACAGCCAGGGUUGCCUCCCCGACUUGUUCCGCAGCCUGCUCAGCUGGAUUGUUAACAAGCAUACACACCAGCCGGAGAAGGACCCAGCAGAGAGAAGAUGAGGGGUGAGGGACAUCCCUGGUGGUCCAGUGGUUAGAACUCCUCACUUCCACUGCAGGGGAACGAGUGCCAUCUCUGCUUAGGGAACCUAGGAUCCCAUAAGGGGUGAAGUGUGGCCAAAAACGGAGAAGAAGAGGGGUGAGAAAAGGGUGGUACUUCAGGUUCAAAUGGGGACAGGAUGACAGUAUUGCUGCAGCCAUUAGAGAAUGUGCCAGAACCCUGCCCCCCACUGCCCCCAGGUCCAGUUCCAGAGCCAUGGCCUCCUGGGUCACCUUGGGCUCACCACUCACAGGAGACCGGCGGCGGGGGCCUUUUCCCUCUGAGCCCUGAGGCCCCUGGUCCCAGGGCCUGAGUGAGGAACUGCACAGUCACCGCGUACUGGCCCAGAGCCCUUUCUGCCCUGGCCCGCCUCACUGCGCCCAGCAGGAACCACAACCGGGAACUCCUGCCCAGCCCGCCCUGGCCUCUCCUGCCCUGGCAGGAAGCGGGCCUCAGCCUGGGCUUCAGCCUGCUCCCCGCACCCCCUUGCAGCAUGACCCUGGCAGGCCCUCACACGCUCACAGCGUGCCUUCCUGUUCUCACUUCAUAAUUCUGAUGAAUACUGUCCUGCCUAAAAGCACUUCACCCAGUGGUCGCCUGGCCCAGUCCACACUCAGCUCCUCCUGGCUUCUGCCGGGGUCACCUUCGCAUUGAGUCCCCCCCACCCUACCCCUUCCCUGUGGCUCAGAUGGUAAAGAAUCUGCCUGCAAUGCAGAAGACCUGAAUUCCAUCCCUGGGUAGGGAAGAUCCCCUGGAGAAGAGAAUGGUAACCCACUCUAGUAUUCUUGCCUGGAGAAUCCCGUGGACAGAGGUCCAGUCUAUGGGGUAGCAAAGAGUUGGACAUGACUGAGCCACUAACACCUUCAUCCUACCCUACUCCACCCCCACUGGGACUUGAGCUUCUCAAGGGAGGCGUUUCUCUCUGUUUUGUCCUCCACUGGGCCCUGCAGUCUCUGAAAAUGGCCCUGGCAUGGAACAGACCUCUAGGCAUGUGUUGACCAAACAAUUUACGUUGGUUUGG